AUUGAACGCUGGCGGCAUGCCUUACACAUGCAAGUCGAACGGCAGCACGGGGGCAACCCUGGUGGCGAGUGGCGAACGGGUGAGUAAUGCAUCGGAACGUGCCCAGUAGUGGGGGAUAACUAGUCGAAAGAUUAGCUAAUACCGCAUACGACCUAUGGGUGAAAGCGGGGGAUUCGCAAGAACCUCGCGCUAUCGGAGCGGCCGAUGUCUGAUUAGCUAGUUGGCGGGGUAAAGGCCCACCAAGGCUUCGAUCAGUAGCUGGUCUGAGAGGACGACCAGCCACACUGGGACUGAGACACGGCCCAGACUCCUACGGGAGGCAGCA
rnacentral:rRNA from 1 species